rnacentral:rRNA from 1 species
UGCUACACAUGCAGUCGAACGCUGAAGCCGACAGCUUGCUGUUGGUGGAUGAGUGGCGAACGGGUGAGUAACACGUGAGUAACCUGCCCCUGAUUUCGGGAUAAGCCUGGGAAACCGGGUCUAAUACCGGAUACGACCGACCCUCGCAUGAGGGUUGGUGGAAAGUUUUUCGAUCGGGGAUGGGCUCGCGGCCUAUCAGCUUGUUGGUGGGGUAAUGGCCUACCAAGGCGACGACGGGUAGCCGGCCUGAGAGGGCGACCGGCCACACUGGGACUGAGACACGGCCCAGACUCCUACGGGAGGCAGCAGUGGGGAAUAUUGCACAAUGGGGGAAACCCUGAUGCAGCGACGCAGCGUGCGGGAUGACGGCCUUCGGGUUGUAAACCGCUUUCAGCAGGGAAGAAGCGAAAGUGACGGUACCUGCAGAAGAAGUACCGGCUAACUACGUGCCAGCAGCCGCGGUAAUACGUAGGGUACGAGCGUUGUCCGGAAUUAUUGGGCGUAAAGAGCUCGUAGGUGGUUGGUCACGUCUGCUGUGGAAACGCAACGCUUAACGUUGCGCGUGCAGUGGGUACGGGCUGACUAGAGUGCAGUAGGGGAGUCUGGAAUUCCUGGUGUAGCGGUGAAAUGCGCAGAUAUCAGGAGGAACACCGGUGGCGAAGGCGGGACUCUGGGCUGUAACUGACACUG